rnacentral:rRNA from 1 species
CGCAGAUCCAAUUUUCUGCCACCGAAUACAUUAGCAUGGGAUAAUGGAAUAGGACCCUGUCCUCCUAUUUUCAGUUGGUUUUGGCAGCGCGAGGACUAGGGUAAUGAUUAAUAGGGAUAGUUGGGGGCAUUAAUAUUUAAUUGUCAGAGGUGAAAUUCUUGGAUUUAUGAAAGAUUAACUUCUGCGAAAGCAUCUGCCAAGGAUGUUUUCAUUAAUCAAGAACGAAAGUUAGGGGAUCGAAGACGAUCAGAUACCGUCGUAGUCUUAACCAUAAACGAUGCCGACCAGCGAUUAGGAGACGUUGAAUACAAAACACCACCAUCGGCGCGGUCGUCCUUGGCGUCUCGGUCCUUCACGGGGCCGGGGCGCGGGGGCGGCUUAGCCCGGUGGCACCGGUGAAUGACUCCCC